AAUAUUGGACAAUUGGCGAAAGCCUGAUCCAGCCACGCCGCGUGAGCGAUGAAGGUCUUCGGAGCGUAAAGCUCUGUCCUGGGGGAAGAAGGGAGCCGUAAGGCUUCUUGACGGUACCCAUGGCGGAAGACCCGGCUAACCACUGGCCAGCAGCCGCGGUAAUACGUAGGGGGCAAGCGUUGUCCGGAAUUAUUGGGCGUACAGGGUGCGUAGGCGGCCCUUUAAGUCAGAUGUGAAAGCCCACGGCUUAACCGUGGGACUGCAUUUGAAACUGGAGGGCUUGAGUGUCGGAGAGGGCAGUGGAAUUCCCAGUGUAGCGGUGGAAUGCGUAGAUAUCGGGAGGAACACCAGUGGCGAAGGCGACUGCCUGGACGAUAACUGACGCUGAGGCACGAAAGCUAGGGGAGCAAAC
rnacentral:rRNA from 1 species